AGUGAACGCUGGCGGUAGGCCUAACACAUGCCAGUCGAACGGCAGCACAGUAAGAGCUUGCUCUUACGGGUGGCGAGUGGCGGACGGGUGAGGAAUACAUCGGAAUCUACUUUUUCGUGGGGGAUAACGUAGGGAAACUUACGCUAAUACCGCAUACGACCUACGGGUGAAAGCAGGGGAUCUUCGGACCUUGCGCGAUUGAAUGAGCCGAUGUCGGAUUAGCUAGUUGGCGGGGUAAAGGCCCACCAAGGCGACGAUCCGUAGCUGGUCUGAGAGGAUGAUCAGCCACACUGGAACUGAGACACGGUCCAGACUCCUACGGGAGGCAGCAGUGGGGAAUGUUGGACAAUGGGCGCAAGCCUGAUCCAGCCAUACCGCGUGGGUGAAGAAGGCCUUCGGGUUGUAAAGCCCUUUUGUUGGGAAAGAAAAGCAGCAGGUUAAUACCCCGCUGUUCUGACGGUACCCAGAGAAUAAGCACCGGCUAACUUCGUG
rnacentral:rRNA from 1 species